rnacentral:rRNA from 1 species
GUAGGUGGCAAGCGUUGUCCGGAAUUAUUGGGCGUAAAGCGCGCGCAGGCGGUUCUUUAAGUCUGAUGUGAAAGCCCACGGCUCAACCGUGGAGGGUCAUUGGAAACUGGAGAACUUGAGUACAGAAGAGGAAAGCGGAAUUCCACGUGUAGCGGUGAAAUGCGUAGAGAUGUGGAGGAACACCAGUGGCGAAGGCGGCUUUCUGGUCUGUAACUGACGCUGAGGCGCGAAAGCGUGGGGAGCAAACAGGAUUAGAUACCCUGGUAGUCCACGCCGUAAACGAUGAGUGCUAAGUGUUAGGUGGUUUCCGCCCCUUAGUGCUGCAGCUAACGCAUUAAGCACUCCGCCUGGGAGUACGGCCGCAAGGCUG